UGAGGAAUAUUGCACAAUGGGGGGAACCCUGAUGCAGCAACGCCGCGUGGAGGAAUGAAGGUCUUUGGAUUGUAAACUCCUUUUCUGUGGGACGAGAGAGGACGGUACCACAGGAAUAAGUCACGGCUAACUACGUGCCAGCAGCCGCGGUAAUACGUAGGUGGCGAGCGUUAUCCGGAAUUACUGGGCGUAAAGCGCAAGCAGGCGGUUCGUUAAGUUUGGCGUAAAAUCUCCUGGCUUAACUGGGAGGGGUCGGUGAAGACUGGCGAGCUGGAGGCAAUGAGAGGGGCAUGGAAUUCCCGGUGUAGUGGUGGAAUGCGUAGAGAUCGGGAGGAACACCAGAGGCGAAAGCGGUGCCCUGGCAUUGGCCUGACGCUGAGAUGCGAAAGCGUGGGGAGCGAACG
rnacentral:rRNA from 1 species